GGGAACCUGCGGAAGGAUCAUUG
rnacentral:rRNA from 4 species